rnacentral:tmRNA from 1 species
GGGCCCGACCUGGCUUCGACGUGGGUGCGGACUUGGAGCGGGGCAUGCCGAGCAUCAGUGAGCUCGUAAAUCCAGCUGAAACAAACCAACUGCGAACGACGAACGUUUCGCCCUCGCCGCUUAAACACCGGUGAGCGUCUCAACGGCAGGCCGAUGGGCCGGGUCUGACCCGCAAGGGAAGGGCUGAGACGUCAUGCACAUCGGCUGGUCGACCGUCGGGUUACUUGGCGUUCGGCGAGAUCUAGGUGACUGGCGCUGACCGUAGCGUGCUCCUGCGCGACGGCAGCGUGAGAUCCAAAUCAGGCGGCUAAGCAUGUAGAUCUGCCCGGGAAUGGCUUGCGGACGGGGGUUCGAUCCCCCCCGGGUCCACCA